UGGAGAGAUAGCUCAGUGGUGAAGCGCUUCUCUAGCAUAGGUGAGGCCCUGGGUUCCAUCCCCAGCACUGCAA
rnacentral:tRNA from 1 species